rnacentral:rRNA from 1 species
AACGAGCGCUGGCGGCGUGCCUAACACAUGCAAGUCGAGGGAGAAAAGGAACUUCGGUUCCCCAGUAAACCGGCGCACGGGUGAGUAACACGUAGGUAACGUACCCUGGAGUCCGGGAUAACCAGUCGAAAGACUGGCUAAUACCGGAUACGACUACGGCGACUUCGGUCGUGGUAGUGAAAGAUGGCCUCUAUUCAUAAGCUAUUACUCCUGGAUCGGCCUGCGCACCAUUAGCUAGUUGGUGAGGUAAUGGCUCACCAAGGCUGAGAUGGUUAGCUGGUCUGAGAGGAUGGCCAGCCACACUGGGACUGAGACACGGCCCAGACUCCUACGGGAGGCAGCAGUGGGGAAUAUUGCGCAAUGGGCGAAAGCCUGACGCAGCGACGCCGCGUGGGUGAUGAAGGCCUUCGGGUCGUAAAGCCCUGUCGGGAGGGAAGAAACAUUUCGGGCCUAAUAUGCCCGAGAAUUGACGGUACCUCCUAAGGAAGCACCGGCUAACUCCGUGCCAGCCGCCGCAGUAAAAC